rfam:Triticum urartu cultivar G1812 contig778999, whole genome shotgun sequence.
AUCAUCUUCCCGAUGGGAAGGAUGAGAAGCUUCGACCCGAAGGUUUGAGCCGAACGCAGUGAGACCACGCCACCUGUGGCGCCCGCAGGGCAAGGAGCGCAGCGACGCAGUUAUCCUUCCCCCACCACCA